rnacentral:misc_RNA from 1 species
AAAGUCGUAACAAGGUCUCCGUAGGUGAACCUGCGGAGGGAUCAUUAACAAAGCAAGGUGUUCAGGAAAGAGGCGAUUGCGUAGCAGGAGCGUCUUUUCUGAAUUCCCAAAAUCAUGUUGCCACCGAUGGUUGGAUUGCAACUCGCGGUGGCACAUAUCUAUAUCUACAUUUCAACAACAACCACUACAACUAAAUACAAACAACUUUUAACAAUGGAUCUCUUGGCUCUU